AGCGAACGCUGGCGGCAGGCCUAACACAUGCAAGUCGAACGAUCCUUCGGGAUAGUGGCGGACGGGUGAGUAACACGUGGGAACGUACCUUUAGGUUCGGGAUAACUCAGGGAAACUUGAGCUAAUACCGGAUGUGCCCUUCGGGGGAAAGAUUUAUCGCCUUUAGAGCGGCCCGCGUUAGAUUAGCUAGUUGGUGAGGUAAAGGCUCACCAAGGCUCCGAUCUAUGGCUGGUCUGAGAGGAUGAUCAGCCACACUGGGACUGAGACACGGCCCAGACUCCUACGGGAGGCAGCAGUGGGGAAUCUUGCGCAAUGGGCGAAAGCCUGACGCAGCCAUGCCGCGUGAAUGAUGAAGGUCUUAGGAUUGUAAAAUUCUUUUAGCAGGGACGAUAAUGACGGUACCUGCAGAAAAAGCCCCGGCUAACUUCGUGCCAGCCGCCGCCGUAA
rnacentral:rRNA from 1 species